rnacentral:rRNA from 1 species
GAGAAACGGCUACCACAUCCAAGGAAGGCAGCAGGCGCGCAAAUUACCCAAUCCCGACACGGGGAGGUAGUGACAAUAAAUACUGAUACGGGGCUCUUUUGGGUCUCGUAAUUGGAAUGAGUACAAUCUAAAUCCCUUAACGAGGAACAAUUGGAGGGCAAGUCUGGUGCCAGCAGCCGCGGUAAUUCCAGCUCCAAUCGCGUAUAUUAAAGUUGUUGCAGUUAAAAAGCUCGUAGUUGAACCUUGGGUCUGGCUGGCCGGUCCGCCUCACCGCGAGUACUGGUCCGGCUGGACCUUUCCUUCUGGGGAAUCUCAUGGCCUUCACUGGCCGUGGGGGGAACCAGGACUUUUACUGUGAAAAAUUUAGAGUGUUCAAAGCAGGCCUUUGCUCGAUAUAUUAGCAUGGAAUAAUAGAAUAGGACGUGCGGUUCUAUUUUGUUGGUUUCUAGGACCGCCGUAGUGAUUAAUAGGGAUAGUCGGGGGCGUCAGUAUUCAGCUGUCAGAGGUGAAAUUCUUGGAUUUGCUGAAGACU